GAUUUGUGAUGGACGAAAAAUUGAUUUCAAACAUCCAAUUCUGUACCUAUAAUACCGACAUAUAUUUUAAUUAGCUAUGGCGUUUCGUUGGUAUCCAGAUUAAUGGAUUGACACACUGGGUCUUCAACAACCUUUGAUUUAAUUGUCUUCUCGUAAUCUGAAUAUCUUGUAUUAUUUGACAUAUGGGAACCACCCAAAUCUAGUUCCAAUGUGCUGACUCUAUUGACUGUGGAAUUGUUCAUCCAUUUGGCAAUAGCAUGAUCUAAGUUAGUCACAUCCUCAUGAUGCAGUAAAUAUUUGUCGGGACCUCCACAUUGGUAAACUCCUGCCUUUGCUGUUGAAGUGUUUUGU
rnacentral:lncRNA from 1 species